CAUCUUUUGCUAGCAGCCUAUGAGUAAUAUAUUUCCAAAUCAUUACACUUAGCCUUAUUCAACAGCUGGAAAGAGCCCUGGAAAUGGUCAGUGACAAAGGUUAUUUUAAAAGAAAUCUGUUUCUUUUCUUUUCUUUUUUAAGAUUUUAUUUAUUUAUUUGAGAGAAAGAGAGUGAGCGAGAAAGAGACGAGCAGGGGGAGGGGCAGAGGCAGAGGGAGAAGCAGGUUCCCCACUGAGCAAGGAGCCUGAUAUGGGACUUGAUCCCAGGACCCCAGAAUCAUGACCUGAGCAGAAGGCAGAUGCUUAACCAACUGAGGCACCAGGGGUCCCAAAAGAAAUCUUUCUUGAUAGUUCCUAUGAAAAAUUGCUUUUACUCUAAUGUGAUUAAUGUAAUUUUCUUACAUCUAAAGGAUCACUUCAUUUACCUUUUUAUCAAUAACUCUGAAAAGACACUAGAUGCAUUUUAUUCUCCACUAUGGUACUCAUGCUGGUUAUACUCUCCGUGGAAUCCCCAUUAGCAGCCAUUGUUGAGAAGCUCUCUGUCUGGACUAUGGGGUCAAAGCUCUAGCCUGGGAGAGAGAAUGGUUUGCGGCUGGUGUCUCCUCUAAAUGGCAAGUACGGUGGCUACAGAAAACUAAAAAUAACUAUGGGUCCAGCUCAGGAUAAGAGAGACAUUACAACUCAAGGACACUUUUCUGAAAAUAUCUAAGUGAUAAAAUAUAUUUUUAAACGUUGUUUUCUGAAUGAUUAUUGCCACUGAAAAAUAAUAGUAGCA
rnacentral:lncRNA from 12 species